GAGGGGAGUGAAAUAGUACCUGAAACCGUGUGCCUGUAAGCCGUCAGAGCCUUGUGGGGUGAUGGCGUGCCUUUUGAAGAAUGAGCCUGCGAGUUAGUGAUACGUGGCGUGCUUAACCCGUGUGGGGUAUGCGUAGCGAAAGCGAGUCUGAAAUAUGGCGUUGGUCGCGUGUUCUAGACCCGAAGCGGGGUGAUCUACCCAUGGUCAGGUUGAAGCAGAGGUAAGACUGUGUGGAGGACCGAACCCACCAGGGUUGAAAACCUGGGGGAUGAACUGUGGGUAGGGGUGAAAGGCCAAUCAAACUCGGAGAUAGCUGGUUCUCCCCGAAAUGCAUUUAGGUGCAGCGUCGCGUGGUCCCUGGUGGAGGUAGAGCUACUGGAUGGCCGAUGGGCCCUAUGGGUUACUGACGUCAGCCAAACUCCGAAUGCCAUUAGGUGUAGCGCGGCAGUGAGACUGCGGGGGAUAAGCUUCGUAGUCGAGAGGGAAACAGCCCAGAUCAUCAGCUAAGGCCCCUAAGCGUGCGCUAAGUGGGAAAGGAUGUGGAGUCGCGGUGACAACCAGGAGGUUGGCUUAGAAGCAGCCAUCCUUGAAAGAGUGCGUAAUAGCUCACUGGUCAAGUGGUUCUGCGCCGACAAUGUAGCGGGGCUCAAGCGUACCGCCGAAGCUGUGGCAACGACACGUGAUGCUGGCGCCAGGAACUGGAGUGCUGGUGUGUUGUUGGGUAGGGGAGCGUCCUGCACGAGGUGAAGCCUGGAGGGAACUUCUGGUGGAUUGUGUGGGAGUGAGAAUGCAGGCAUGAGUAGCGAAUCUGCGGUGAGAAUCCGCAGCGCCGAUUGACUAAGGGUUCCAGGGCUAGGUUUAUCCGCCCUGGGUUAGUCGGGUCCUAAGGCGAGGCCGACAGGCGUAGUCGAUGGACAACCAGUUGAUAUUCUGGUACCGCGUUAUGACCGCCCAUGCUGAAGUCAUUGUGCUAACCAAUUUGCUCACACCACCUCUAAGCCUUCGGGUUUUUGGGUGUGUGUGGGUCUUGGGGCCCCGGUGAUUGUAGGCAAGCGUGUUAACAGGGGUGACGCAGACAGGUAGCUGCAGUGCGCCGAUGGUUGUGCGUAUUUAAGGUUGUGGCCCGCCCUUCAGGUAAAUCCGGGGGGCACGAUGGGUGAGGACUGAUGAGGGACACACGCGUGUGUGGACUUGUGGUGAUCCUAAGCUGCCGAGAAAAGCCUCGACGUGAGGGCAUAACGCGCCCGUACCCUAAACCGACUCAGGUGGUCAGGUAGAGUAUACCGAGGCGUUCGAGUGAAUCGUGGUUAAGGAACUCGGCAAAAUUCCUCCGUAACUUCGGGAUAAGGAGGACCCCGUGACUUCCCAGCGCCGUGCGCGCGGGUGGGGUUGUGGGGUCGCAGAGAAUAGGGAGAAGCGACUGUUUAUCAAAAACACAGGUGCGUGCGAAGCCGUAAGGCGAUGUAUACGCACUGACGCCUGCCCGGUGCUGGAAGGUUAAGAGGAACCGUCAACACCCCCCGGGGUGUGAAGCGGUGAAUUUAAGCCCCAGUAAACGGCGGUGGUAACUAUAACCAUCCUAAGGUAGCGAAAUUCCUUGUCGGGUAAGUUCCGACCUGCACGAAUGG
rnacentral:rRNA from 1 species